AAUGAUGAGCCUGAGUAAAGGACUAUCGUGAUAGGAUAAAAUAUGUAGUACAAACCUAAGCUACCUUCAUUA
rnacentral:tRNA from 1 species